CGCAGAGGGGACGAGGUCCGGUC
rnacentral:siRNA from 1 species